UACAGAGGGUGCAAGCGUUAAUCGGAAUUACUGGGCGUAAAGCGUGCGUAGACGGUUGCGUAAGUCAGAUGUGAAAGCCCCGGGCUCAACCUGGGAAUUGCAUUCGAGACUGCAUGGCUAGGAUGCGGAAGAGGGAAGCGGAAUUUCCGGUGUAGCGGUGAAAUGCGUAGAUAUCGGAAGGAACACCAGUGGCGAAAGCGGCUUCCUGGUCCAGCAUCGACGUUCAGGCACGAAAGCGUGGGGAGCAAACAGG
rnacentral:rRNA from 1 species